rnacentral:rRNA from 1 species
GACGAACGCUGGCGGCGUGCUUAACACAUGCAAGUCGAACGGUGAAGCGCCUUCCUUUUUGGUGGGUGUGGAUGAGUGGCGAACGGGUGAGUAACACGUGAGUAACCUGCCCCCUUCUUCUGGAUAACCGCAUGAAAGUGUGGCUAAUACGGGAUAUUCUGGGUCUGUCGCAUGAUGGGUCUGGGAAAGAUAUUGUUUCGGUGGGGGAUGGGCUCGCGGCCUAUCAGCUCGUUGGUGGGGUGAUGGCCUACCAAGGCGGUGACGGGUAGCCGGCCUGAGAGGGUGGACGGUCACACUGGGACUGAGACACGGCCCCGACUCCUACGGGAGGCAGCAGUGGGGAAUAUUGCACAAUGGGCGCAAGCCUGAUGCAGCGACGCCGCGUGAGGGAUGGAGGCCUUCGGGUUGUGAACCUCUUUCGCCAGUGAAGCAGGCCUGCCUCGUUUGUGGGUGGGUUGACGGUAGCUGGAUAAGAAGCGCCGGCUAACUACGUG